CUUCUGCAUUCUGCCUGCACCGGAGCGGUGGGUUGCGCGUGCGCGAGACGGCGGCAGCUAGAGCGCUGCUCGUUUGUCAGCGGCUCGGGAAGAGGGAGCUGGUGCUAGAACGGGAGAACGGAGCAGAGGACCACAGGCUGUGAGACUGCAGCGGGGAACGAGUCAGAGCACUGCCGGGAGACGGGAGACAAAAAACACCAACUCAUCCUGUUUUAUUCCUACAGCUGCGAGAAGAGGGAAAAACCUGUCCACGUUUGCUUAAACAGUACAACGAAGGUUGAUGGAAGAUAAGAAUUGAUCAUCAGGACUUCACACAGUCUGAAGUCCUUCUCAGCAGUCAGAGUCUGUGGAUAUCUCCAACUGGAGGACAAACCCCUUUGAUUGGAUCCCCAUAGUGUGUGUGUGUUAGUGUGUGUGCGUGUUUGUGU
rnacentral:lncRNA from 1 species